rnacentral:rRNA from 1 species
GACGAACGCUGGCGGCGUGCUUAACACAUGCAAGUCGAACGGAAAGGCCCUGCUUUUGUGGGGUGCUCGAGUGGCGAACGGGUGAGUAACACGUGAGUAACCUGCCCUUGACUUUGGGAUAACUUCAGGAAACUGGGGCUAAUACCGGAUAGGAGCUCCUGCUGCAUGGUGGAGGUUGGAAAGUUUCGGCGGUUGGGGAUGGACUCGCGGCUUAUCAGCUUGUUGGUGGGGUAGUGGCUUACCUAGGCUUUGACGGGUAGCCGGCCUGAGAGGGUGACCGGCCACAUUGGGACUGAGAUACGGCCCAGACUCCUACGGGAGGCAGCAGUGGGGAAUAUUGCACAAUGGGCGGAAGCCUGAUGCAGCAACGCCGCGUGCGGGAUGACGGCCUUCGGGUUGUAAACCGCUUUCGCCUGUGACGAAGCGUGAGUGACGGUAAUGGGUAAAGAAGCACCGGCUAACUACGUG